GGGGUGGGCCCGCUAAGAAACCUAUCCUGAUAGGGGACCCGUAAAGUUACGCGAAUAUAUCUUUGGACCCUGCUACGGGCCCAGGUGCAGCCGCACCUGCUGCACCCCCUAUAGUUACGCCCCUGGACUUUGGAACAUCCAGCAGUAGUUAAUGCUCCGCGCAUGCAGAAUGCUUUCUUUGGUGUGAUAUACACUGUUCAAUGGUGGAUGAUAUGAGACUGAAGAGCACCAUACAGUGCAGCAAGGCUGCAGUUGAAACCUCGGCGGCUGAAACUCCCUUGAUUCGGCCCUGCGUUGCUGACCCAACCCCUCGGCAUUGUGGGUAAAGUGCUGCAAGAAGCUCGAAUUAAGCUCAUCCUUCACAGACUCGCCUGAGCCUUCCCUAAGGCGCCGUCUAUUUGAGACACAAUCAAUCGCCUUCCAGUUUCCCCGACACUCUUUUGCCCAUCAGCCACUAGGGUUCCUAAACAGCUUGGUCGAGGUGCAGAAGUAAAAAAAAAAGAAAAAGAAAAAA